GCGGAGCCUACAUGAUAAAUCCAAGAUGGCGGUACAAGGGGGCAAAAAGACUACAGAUUCUAUUACGAAAAUCAAGAUUUUUGCAUUUUUUGCCGUCGCAUUGUUUUGAAACUUAUUCGGUCAAAUUUUAUGGUAAAGAGAAACUUACCGCGAAGAUUUUGAGCUUAUUUAUGAUUGAAUUGGAUGAAAACUCGCAAAAUUAUCCAGCGAUAAAAGUUCGUGUAUAGUACUGAUAUAGUACUAUAUAUGUAACUUGUACAGUUUUGCUUUAAUUUUUGCUCACUAUUUGCAUAGAAAGUAAAUUAUAACAGACCAUAGAUGAUAGACCCUUAUCCAGUGCUCUCAUCAGUUUACUUCUCUAACAAGCAAGGAGGGGGGGGGGGGUACAUAACAGUGAAUUUUUCAUAAUUAUGAGGACAGAGCAGAUGAUGAUGAAAGACGCAAGUAUAAAACACCAUUCACAAGACUAGAUGUUAACAUAGUACAGUAUUUCUGGCAAUAAAACGCUCCAACUGACCAUUUCACACGAACUUUUAUCGCUG
rnacentral:lncRNA from 1 species